GGAGGGUGCAAGCGUUAAUCGGGAAUUACUGGGGCGUAAAGCGUGCGUAGGCGGUUUGUUAAGUCGGAUGUGAAAGCCCUGGGGCUCAACCUGGGGACGUGCAUUCGAAACUGGCAGACUAGAGUCUGGAAGAGGUUGGCGGAAUUCCCGGUGUAGCGGUGAAAUGCGUAGAUAUCGGGAGGAACAUCAGUGGCGAAGGCGGCUGACUGGUUCAAGACUGACGCUGAGGCACGAAAGCGUGGGGAGCAAACAGGAUUAGAUACCAUGGUAGUCCACGCCCUAAACGAUGGGAACUAGACGUUGGCUUCAUUCAUGAGGCUAGUGUCGCAGCUAACGCAUUAAGUUCCCCGCCUGGGGAGUACGGCCGCAAGGUUG
rnacentral:rRNA from 1 species